GCAUAUCUAUAAGCGGAGGAAAAAGAAUACCAACAGGGGAUUGCCUCAGUAACGGCGAGUGAAGCGGCAACAGCUCAAAUUUGAAAUCUGGCCCUAGGCCCGAGUUGUAAUUUGCAGAGGAUGCUUUUGGCAAGGUGCCUUCCGAGUUCCCUGGAACGGGACGCCAUAGAGGGUGAGAGCCCCGUCUGGUCGGACACCGAGCCUCUGUAAAGCUCCUUCGACGAGUCGAGUAGUUUGGGAAUGCUGCUCAAAAUGGGAGGUAUAUGUCUUCUAAAGCUAAAUACCGGCCAGAGACCGAUAGCGCACAAGUAGAGUGAUCGAAAGAUGAAAAGCACUUUGAAAAGAGAGUUAAAUAGCACGUGAAAUUGUUGAAAGGGAAGCGUUUAUGACCAGACUUGGCCCGGUUGAUCAUCCAGCCUUCUGGCUGGUGCACUCUGCCGGUCCAGGCCAGCAUCAGUUCGUCGCGGGGGAUAAAGGUUUCGGGAAUGUAGCUCCUCCGGGAGUGUUAUAGCCCGUUGCGUAAUACCCUGCGGUGGACUGAGGUCCGCGCUCUGCAAGGAUGCUGGCGUAAUGGUCAUCAACGACCCGUCUUGAAACACGGACCAAGGAGUCGUCUUCGUAUGCGAGUGUUCGGGUGUAAAACCCCUACGCGUAAUGAAAGUGAACGCAGGUGAGAGCUUCGGCGCAUCAUCGACCGAUCCUGAUGUUCUCGGAUGGAUUUGAGUAAGAGCAUACGGGGCCGGACCCGAAAGAAGGUGAACUAUGCCUGUAUAGGGUGAAGCCAGAGGAAACUCUGGUGGAGGCUCGCAGCGGUUCUGACGUGCAAAUCGAUCGUCAAAUAUGGGCAUGGGGGCGAAAGACUAAAUCGAACCUUCUAGUAGCUAGGAUUCCGCGAGU
rnacentral:rRNA from 1 species